AACGAACGCUGGCGGCAGGCUUAACACAUGCAAGUCGAACGCUCGUAGCAAUACGGGAGUGGCGGACGGGUGAGUAACGCGUGGGAACGUGCCCUGAGGUACGGAAUAACUGAGGGAAACUUCAGCUAAUACCGUAUGAGCCCCGAGAGGGGAAAGAUUUAUCGCCUUGGGAGCGGCCCGCGUCGGAUUAGCUAGUUGGUGGGGUAACGGCCUACCAAGGCUUCGAUCCGUAGCUGGUCUGAGAGGACGAUCAGCCACACUGGGACUGAGACACGGCCCAGACUCCUACGGGAGGCAGCAGUGGGGAAUCUGGCGCAAUGGGGGCAGCCCUGACGCAGCCAUGCCGCGUGAACGAUGAAGGCCUUAGGGUUGUAAAGUUCUUUACCCGUGACGAUGAUGACGGUAACGGGGAAUAAGCUCCGGCUAACUUCGUGCCAGCAGCCGCGGUAAU
rnacentral:rRNA from 1 species